CUCUACUAGCACAACUAUAUAAUUUGACAUAUUUUUUAUAUUUUACUUUUAAAACUCUAUCGAUCAUAACUCUAUCAAAAUUAUUCCAUACAAUACUAAUCUUCUUACAGGGAAGGGAUUUGACCUUCGAUAUUGGUUUCAGAGGAAUUAGGAGCAUUAGUUUUUUCUACCUCAAAAACAGAGGAAAUGUCAAAAUAACUCUCAUUAAAAAAUGCCAUAUCUAAAAAUGAUGAAUGCAAAUAAUAAAAACUAACUUUUGCCGUAUCUAAAAAUGAUGAAUGUAAAAAAUAAAAACUAACCACAAGGAGAAAUUGAAUAGAAAUAGAGCGG
rnacentral:lncRNA from 1 species